UACAGAGGGUGCAAGCGUUGUUCGGAAUUAUUGGGCGUAAAGCGCGUGUAGGCGGCUUUGCAAGUCGGGUGUGAAAGCCCUCAGCUCAACUGAGGAAGUGCGCCCGAAACUGCAGAGCUUGAGUGCCGGAGAGGGUGGCGGAAUUCCCCAAGUAGGAGGUGAAAUUCGUCAGAUAUGGGGAGGAACACCGGUGGCGAAGGCGGCCGACCUGGGACGGUAAACUGACGCCUGAGACGCGAAAGCGUGGGGAGCAAACAGG
rnacentral:rRNA from 1 species